GAUGAACGCUGGCGGCGUGCCUAAUACAUGCAAGUCGAGCGAACAGACGAGGAGCUUGCUCCUCUGACGUUAGCGGCGGACGGGUGAGUAACACGUGGAUAACCUACCUAUAAGACUGGGAUAACUUCGGGAAACCGGAGCUAAUACCGGAUAAUAUAUUGAACCGCAUGGUUCAAUAGUGAAAGACGGUUUUGCUGUCACUUAUAGAUGGAUCCGCGCCGCAUUAGCUAGUUGGUAAGGUAACGGCUUACCAAGGCAACGAUGCGUAGCCGACCUGAGAGGGGGGCCGGCCACACUGGAACAGAGCCACGGGCCAGACGCCGACGGGAGGCAGCAGUAGGGAAUCUUCCGCAAUGGGCGAAAGCCUGACGGAGCAACGCCGCGUGAGUGAUGAAGGUCGUCGGAUCGUAAAACUCUGUUAUUAGGGAAGAACAAAUGUGUAAGUAACUAUGCACGGCUUGACGGUACCUAAUCAGAAAGCCACGGCUAACGACGUG
rnacentral:rRNA from 1 species